GUGCCAGCAGCCGCGGUAAUACGGAGGGUGCGAGCGUUGUCCGGAAUCACUGGGCGUAAAGGGCGCGUAGGCGGUGGGGUAAGCGUGUGGUGAAAGUCCGGGGCUCAACCCCGGAUCGGCCGUGCGAACUGCUUCACUUGAGCACUGUAGAGGCAGGUGGAAUUCCGGGUGUAGCGGUGGAAUGCGUAGAGAUCCGGAAGAACACCGGUGGCGAAGGCGGCCUGCUGGGCAGUGGCUGACGCUGAGGCGCGACAGCGUGGGGAGCAAACAGGAUUAGAUACCCUGGUAGUCC
rnacentral:rRNA from 1 species